rnacentral:misc_RNA from 1 species
AACUUUCGGCAAUGGAUCUCUUGGUUCUCGCAUCGAUGAAGAACGCAGCGAAACGCGAUAGGUAAUGUGAAUUGCAGAAGUCCGUGAAUCAUCGAAUCUUUGAACGCACAUUGCGCCUUCUGGUAUUCCGGUAGGCAUGCCUGUCUGAGCGUCAGCUAAACAUCCUCAGCCUGAGUAUUUUUUCGUACUUAAUGCUGGUCUUGGGUAGUUGGAUGCCGGUGUGGUUAAUUCUUCCCCACCUGCGCCUUCCCUAAACUUGCUGUACGACCGCAAGCCCCUUACUAGCCAGGUCAAUGGAGUGGUAUUACAAUCUUUCCAAAAAAGCCUGCUGGUAAACUGCUUUGCGGCGUUAAACGAUAGAGUCCUCCCUCUGCGGAGGCUUGAAGUUUUGACCUCAGAUCAGACAAGGAUACCCGCUGAACUUAAGCAUAUCAAUAAGCGGAGGC